rnacentral:rRNA from 1 species
UACAGAGGUCCCAAGCGUUGUUCGGAUUCACUGGGCGUAAAGGGUGCGUAGGUGGCCGGGAAAGUUCGAUGUGAAAGCUCGGAGCUCAACUCCGAAAUGGCAUUGAAUACUAUUCGGCUUGAGGGUCGGAGGGGAGACUGGAAUUCUCGGUGUAGCAGUGAAAUGCGUAGAUAUCGAGAGGAACACCAGUGGCGAAGGCGGCCUUCUGGACCAAUACUGACGCUCAUGCACGAAAGCGUGGGGAGCAAACAGG